rnacentral:sRNA from 1 species
GUGUAGCCGUUCAAAUUUUAAGUCUGUU